UCCCUCUCAGGGUCGCACCUGGAGAGUUUCCAGUACUCUUACCAGUCUCAGCGACGGGAGGGAGAGUCAAGCAGUGGCCUACCCAUUCCAUUCCUAGCUUGGCCAGUGGCUGGGGAGUGGAAGGCCAUCUGCCACGAGU
rnacentral:snoRNA from 1 species